rnacentral:misc_RNA from 1 species
GAUGAAGAACGUAGCGAAAUGCGUUAAGUAGUGUGAAUUGCAGAAUUCAGUGAAUCAUCGAAUCUUUGAACGCACAUUGCGCCCCAUGGUAUUCCGUGGGGCAUGCCUGUUCGAGCGUCAUUUACCCCCUCAAGCUCCGCUUGGUGUUGGGCGUCUGUCCCGCUUCGCGCGCGGACUCGCCCCAAAGGUAUUGGCAGCGGUCGUGCCAGCUUCUCGCGCAGCACAUUGCGCUUCUCGAGGCACCGGUGGGCCCGCGUCCAUCAAGCUCACCCCCCCAGUUUGACCUCGGAUCAGGUAGGGAUACCCGCUGAACUUAAGCAUAUCAAUAAGCGGAGGA